UGCCUGGAGUGAAGAUUCUGCCCAUUGGUCAAGAGACCUCCCUCUCAGAUGCUGGCUCUGCCCCUGCCUUUGGGGGUCGACCCUUGUACUCGCAGGACCUUAGGUGACUCUGUAAGUAUAGUAAAACGCAGUUAAUAUGAUGUUAUCAUUCAAUCAUUUUUAAAAAGUGGAGCAACCAGUUGACAAGGACUUUGUCAAAGGAAAAAUUUCUGCAUGUGCACACACAGAUCUUGGAAGUUUAUUCAUCUCAGCAGAGGCAGACAGGAGCAUCAACAGCCUUGGGGACAGCAGCAGUGGUGGUAGGGCAAAAUAAAACUUAUAUGAAACUGUAAUCACUAAUGUGUGAAAAUGGAAGAUUCAGGAAGUGUUUCAUAUCUGAAAUAUGAACCCAACGUGGAAUCAACAUGCAUCCAAACAGGACUAAAUGUGCAAACCCAAGGCAAGAUUAAAACUAUAAAUAUUUAGCAAUUUGGCAAAUUGGUCAUUUUGGAGACUAGCUUUUAGCAAAUUCAUCAUAUGUUUAAUUGAUUUCCAGUAAAUUGGCUGCUUCCAUCAAGGCUGCCUUGGGUGACUAUGUCCAAGCAACCAAAUUGCUCUC
rnacentral:lncRNA from 10 species